CCCGGUUGGGUGAUAGUGCUUGGAUGAACAGCUGAAUUCCUGGUCACACAACACAGUGUCUGAGGUGAGGUAUGGUGGAGCAGUGGCGAGGUGGACGUCGUAACCUCACACUACCAUCCCUAGGGUCUGCACUCAGGUUUCAUAGAAGCAGCCAGGCAGAGAACCACCCUGCAGGGCCUGUAGGCUAUGCCUGUUGCAUUCAGUGUAGUCUUUGAGGUGGAAAUAAAGUUGAAGGUUUCACCUACAAGCUGUGCUCUUGUUGCAGUUCAUUCCAUUACAACUGGUGUCUGUCAGAAAACACAC
rnacentral:lncRNA from 1 species